rnacentral:rRNA from 1 species
UACGAAAGGGUGCGAGCGUUGUCCGGAAUCACUGGGCGUAAAGGGCGCGUAGGCGGUCUUUUAAGCGUGUGGUGAAAGCCCGGGGCUCAACCCCGGGUCGGCCGUGCGAACUGGGAGACUGGAGCAGAUCAGAGGCAGGCGGAAUUCCGGGUGUAGCGGUGGAAUGCGUAGAGAUCCGGAAGAACACCGGUGGCGAAGGCGGCCUGCUGGGAUCUGGCUGACGCUGAAGCGCGACAGCGUGGGGAGCAAACGAGG